UAGGUUCAAUGCACCCCUUCGUUAAAAUAAACCCCAGAGCCACCAAGGUCAGAUCUGGGUAUAAAGGUGUAGAGGGAGAAGGCACGAUAACCCACUGGAAUAUACCCCUAGAAAGUAGACUCAAAAGCAAACAGCAGAGACAGGAAAUAUGUAAAACCGUCUUAUAAGUUUAUUCCCCAACUAAAAAUAUCUGCUUACUUUAAAACAUGGCAAGCUCUCACAUGGAAGACUCACAAUCAGGCAUGCAAAAACAAGUUCCAGAAGAGAACAGCACAAGGCCCACCGAAACUAUGUUUAAUCUUCACCUUCUAUGACGCCAGAUGUCACGUGAUGCUUUUCGCCUUUACACUGCGUGAGCUUCUUUCAUCAGAAGAAAUGUGUGUUUGCACAUUUAUUUUGGGUAGUGCAUGCAGCUGAUCCAUAUUUAAUAUUUAAAUAACUGAGCACAUAUUAUUUUUUAAGUACCUUGCACACAUUCC